ensembl:lncRNA
AUGCUGGAGGACCUGAAGCUCUCGCACAGGCUGCAGACCGACUGGAGGCUGUCGUGCUGGGCCAGGGAGGACUCGAGGCUGUCGGAGAGGCGGCUCGACGCCGCGGGGUUGCUGUGGCACGUCCCGGAGCACCCUCGGCCCGGGCAGGCGGCGAGCGGGCCCUGCAGGCUGUCCUCGCCGGCGCCGAGCGACGCCGAGCCGCUGCCGCAGCAGGGGCACUCCAGGCUGUCACACUGGAUGCUGGGCGACUCGCGGGGGCUGCCGCUGCUGGGGAGCGCUUGCAGGCUGUCGGGCGGCAGCGAGCCGGAGCCCAGCCCGGGGCUGCUGCAGGGGCUGGCCGGGGCGCGGGGGCUCUCGGGCGGGUCCGCGGGGGCGGGCUCGGGACUGUGGCCGGGGACGGAGGGCUCGGCGGCCGGGGCCUCUACCGGCCACAUCCCCCGGGCAGCGCCCCUCCGCCCCGCGGCGAGGCCCGGCCCGGCCCAGCGCUGGCCGCAGGCACGGCGGGACCGGCGACGGCGCCGUCCCUGCCCGUCCCAGCCCCGCGGCGGCGCCCGCCGCCCCCUGCCCCCACCGCGGCGCAUGCGCGGGGCCGCCUCCGCCCGCCCCUACCCCGCGCCCAGCGAGCCGCGCGGCCUGUGCGCGCCGCCUGCGCGCUCCCGCCUGGCGCCGCUGCCCUCCGCCUGCCCGCAGGCGCCCGGCAGGUACGGGGCAGGGGCCGGGGCCGGCGGGGGGAAGGCGAGGCGAGGCAGCAGGUGCGCGGGGGCGGUGCGUUACAUACCGCGCUGCCUUCCGCUCGCUGUCCGUGCGGAGCGCGGCGCCGGCCAGCGGCAGGAACUGCUGGCGCAUCCCGGGAGGGAGCGGAGCGGGGCCCGGCCCGGGCAGAGCCGCCGCCGGCCGGGGCCCGGAGCGCAGCGUGAGGGGCCGCUGUGCCGGCCCCGGACCCCGCCGGAGCGGGCGCCCCCUCGACCCGGGAUGCGGAGCGGGGAGGGCUGGGUUUGGGCGCGCAGCGGCGGACGGGCGGGGGCGGGGGCGCGCAGCGGCGGGGACGCGGCGCGCCGCGGGAGCGCAGUUUCUGGAAGAAUGCUACGAAUUCAGCUCUGGGCAUUUUUAGUAGGAAUGCACGAGUACCGAGAGGUCUGCUUUGGAAAAAGAAAAAAAUCGGGAGUGUUUGGUACAAAAUCAGCGCGAACGUGGGAAGCGCGCGUUUUCCGGCAGGCACUGGCAGCGGCCCGGAGGCGGCGGCUCCGCACCCGGCCGGGGGAGGGGGGAGCGGGGCACCCGCCGCCCGUGGGUGAUGCUCGGCUCCGGCCAGCGCGCGUGGUGCUGCGCAGGGGGAGCGAACUGCUGAGGGCACAUCCCACGGAAACGCGGCGCUGCCAGCUGCUGCCUUUCGGGUUUCCCUGUACGUUCCCACCGCUGUCUUUUUUUCCCAAACCUCACGGCCGGAGCUCGGUGGCUUGCGGCGCCCGUGGGCUGCCGGGGCCACCGUGCCGCGCCGGGACCAGUCCCGGGACGGGGCCGCGGCUCCCCCCGGCACCGGCAGGGCGGGGGGUGCUGGCUCCCACGGCGCGGGUGCUGGGCGGGGGCAGUGCUGUCCGGGGCGCGUCAGCGGCCUGUGAUGGGUAUCUUGCUGCUUUACAACCCGGUUCUGUGGGGAGGGGUCACACGGUGUUUGUUCACUGCAUCCCUAGGCCGAGGCGAUGCCCGUGUUUGAUGCUCUCUGUCGGGCGAACCUGA